rnacentral:rRNA from 1 species
UUGACGGUACCCUACUAGAAAGGAGCCGCUAACUUCGUGCCAGAAGCGUCGGUAAUACGGGGGCUCCAAGCGUUAUCCGGUGUUAUUGGGCGUAAAGAGUCGUGUAGGUGGUUGGGUAAGUUAUCUUUCAAAUAUCUUUGCUUAACAAAGAGGAGGGGGAUAAUACUGCUCGACUAGAAUUUUCUCAAGGGAGAUCGGAACUGAGGGAGGAGUAGUGAAAUGCGUUGAUACCCUCGGGAACACCAGUGGCGUAGGCGGAUCUCUGGGAGAAGAUUGACACUGAGACACGAAAGCUAGGGGAGCGAAGCAGAUUAGAGACCUGCGUAGUCCUAGCCGUAAACGCAUGCUUGCUAGCUGCAUGAAUCUACCUUCGGGUGGUAUCGUGUGGCGAAGGUAACCCGUUAAGCAAGCCGCCUGGAAAGUACGGCCGCAAGGCUGAAAUUCAAAGGAAUUGGCGGGGAGGCACACAACCAGUGGAACAUGUGGUUUAAUUCGAGACUAACCGAAGAACCUCACCAGGGUUUGACAUGUAGCUGCACGUCUUAAGAAAUUAAGACUCUCUUGAAGGUGCUACACAGGUGCUGCAUGGCUGUCGUCAGCUCGUUCCGUGAGGAGUGCCCUUAAGUGGGACAACGAGCGCAACCCCUAUUACAUGUUAGAAAUGUCAUGUAAGACUGCCUUGCCAUUUGGCGGGGAGGAAGGAGGGGCAGACGUCAAGUCCGCAUGGUCCUUAUGCCCUGGGCUACACACAUGUUACAAUGAGUACGGCAAUGAGUCUGUCGCGAGCACGUAAGUGUAAGCUAAUCUCUUAAAUGUACUCUCAGUGGGGAUUGAGGUCUGCAACUCGACCUCAUGAACACGGAAUUGGUAGUAAUCGCGGGUCAGCUAUACCGCGGUGAUACGUUCUUGCCUCUUGCACACACCGCCCGUCAAACCAGCAA